CUCAGGACGAACGCUGGCGGCGUGCCUAAUACAUGCAAGUAGAACGCUGAAGAGAGGAGCUUGCUCUUCUUGGAUGAGUUGCGAACGGGUGAGUAACGCGUAGGUAACCUGCCUUGUAGCGGGGGAUAACUAUUGGAAACGAUAGCUAAUACCGCAUAACAAUGGGUGACUCAUGUCAUUUAUUUGAAAGGGGCAAAUGCUCCACUACAAGAUGGACCUGCGUUGUAUUAGCUAGUAGGUGAGGUAACGGCUCACCUAGGCGACGAUACAUAGCCGACCUGAGAGGGUGAUCGGCCACACUGGGACUGAGACACGGCCCAGACUCCUACGGGAGGCAGCAGUAGGGAAUCUUCGGCAAUGGGGGCAACCCUGACCGAGCAACGCCGCGUGAGUGAAGAAGGUUUUCGGAUCGUAAAGCUCUGUUGUAAGUCAAGAACGAGUGUGAGAGUGGAAAGUUCACACUGUGACGGUAGCUUACCAGAAAGGGACGGCUAACUACGUGCCAGCAGCCGCGGUAAUACGUAGGUCCCGAGCGUUGUCCGGAUUUAUUGGGCGUAAAGCGAGCGCAGGCGGUUUGAUAAGUCUGAAGUUAAAGGCCGUGGCUCAACCAUAGUUCGCUUUGGAAACUGUCAAACUUGAGUGCAGA
rnacentral:rRNA from 1 species